UACGAAGGGGGCUAGCGUUGUUCGGAAUUACUGGGCGUAAAGCGCACGUAGGCGGAUAUUUAAGUCAGGGGUGAAAUCCCAGAGCUCAACUCUGGAACUGCCUUUGAUACUGGGUAUCUUGAGUAUGGAAGAGGUAAGUGGAAUUGCGAGUGUAGAGGUGAAAUUCGUAGAUAUUCGCAGGAACACCAGUGGCGAAGGCGGCUUACUGGUCCAUAACUGACGCUGAGGCACGAAAGCGUGGGUAGCAAACAGG
rnacentral:rRNA from 1 species